AGAACGAACGCUGGCGGCAUGCCUAAUACAUGCAAGUCGAACGAACACUUCGGUGUUAGUGGCGCACGGGUGCGUAACGCGUGGGAAUCUGCCCUUGGGUUCGGAAUAACAGGUUGGAAACGACUGCUAAUACCGGAUGAUAUCGAAAGAUCAAAGAUUUAUCGCCCAGGGAUGAGCCCGCGUAGGAUUAGCUAGUGGUGAGGUAAAGCUCACCAAGGCGACGAUCCUUAGCUGGUCUGAGAGGAUGAUCAGCCACUACUGGGACUGAGACACGGCCCAGACUCCUACGGGAGGCAGCAGUAGGGAAUAUGGACAAUGGGGCACAAGCCUGAUCCAGACAAUGCCGGUCGUGAGUGAGUGGAAGGUCCGUUAGGGUUAGUAAGGCUAACGUUUUUGG
rnacentral:rRNA from 1 species